UUGCUUUUUACCUGACAGGCACAGUUACUUUUAACUUUAAUGAUUCAAAUUUUAUAUAAAAACAUAUCAGUACGUUAUAAAAUAUGACUCAUUAUUUUAUAUUCAAGUAUGUUAUGUAAUCAGAAUGAGCCUAACCUUAACCCUGGCCUGCUAGUAAUUAUUAUCAUCAAUACCAGUUAAUCUGACAAUUACAUUCUUGAUUAACUGACUAGUUGUUCAUUAUGUAAAAUGACAGAAAAUGGUGAAAAACAUUCAUCAGUGUUUCCCAAAUAUAUACUUUUUAAAUCCACAAUCAGUCGAUACUCUGUUUACUGUCACAGAGAAACAGGUAAAUAUUCAACCAUAAUUAAGCGAUUUUCAAGAUAAUUGCAGUUUAAUUUAAUAGCUGUCAGCCAAUUGAUGAAUUUGUGCAAUUCAAGACACAUUUUACUGUUUUACUGAUAGCUGUUGCAGUUAAAUAGGCUAUAAUUAGCCUAUGGACCUAAUUUUCUGUGUUUGUUUUUGUCUGGAGCAAAGGCAGCAGAUAUGCUCUGAAUAUUAAUAAUGAUGUAUUUGGUGUAUUGACUAUAUGGGUAAACUAACACUCAAAUUCAUAUUAACCAAAAUGUAUGAAAACAAGCGUUUCCAAGACACCUUUACGUGUAAUUACAGCUCUGUAAAUCAUUAUAAUUAAACUAAUUCCAAGCCACACAGCUUGAGAACCACCGAUCUGGUUAGUCUGCUGUCACUUUGAUGUUAUUAUGGAACACAUAGAAAGAAAGUGGGAGGACCUCACUUUGCCUUAAGCACAGUGUGUCACAUGCUAUCCUCAUUUCAGUCUGAAAAAGCUUGAAAAAGGUGCAGUUAUCGGGUUAAAAUCUUGGGUAGGGCUCAGUCUUCAAAGAGCCUGUGGUUCAGUCUGUGGGUAUAACUGACAAAAUGCGAAGCUUUGGGCCUUUUUCAGCUCCACUGGUGUGUGCUGUGCUGAUGAGGAGUCCAGGUGUGUGUCAUCUUUAAUCAGCAGAUCAUGUGCAGGUGGGGGCCAGCUAAUCAGGUCCUGGCGUCCUAUAAAAUCUGUCGUCAGUCGUCGUUUGAUGCCGAACGUUGCUGUUGGUUGCCAGACUCCUCCAGCUCCUUGGUCUGCUCCUGGUCCUCCACGCAUUCGGCUGGGUCAAGGAAAAUAAUUUGUAGUCAGCCAAUUUGUUUUAAAUUUUGGGUGUUUUGGGCAUACUCUGGAAGCAUUUGAAGAUAUAUAUUUCACCGGAGAGUUGAUGGUUGAUGCGUCAUCUUUUCUUCACCGCGCAUGUGCAGUUUUCCCCCAGUCGGUGUUGUGCUUUUACUGUGGUGUGAACCGGCUCUUUAACAUACGAUCUACGCCGAACAUCUCACAUUUACUAAUCCGCAACGCCAACCACGAUACAGCGAAUGGACACUAUAUAAAAUAGGUACCUAGAAAGAAUUUGUGAAAUUCUCCAUGAAGUUUUGACUUGUAAUAGAUGGCUCGUUGGUCUAGGGGUAUGAUUCUCGCUUUGGGUGCGAGAGGUCCCGGGUUCAAAUCCCGGACGAGCCCACUCUUUGGUCAGACUUAUUACAAAAUGAUGUAAACAUAGUAAAAGUACAAUGUACACUUAAGUCUCAGAGUGUUAUGCGGAUUAUGUAUAUAUACUAUAAAGGUUGUGACCUAAUGUUUAUUCGCUCUAUUAAACGUGGUAGAUAAAGACUUAA